rnacentral:rRNA from 1 species
GAUGAACGCUGGCGGCGUGCUUAACACAUGCAAGUCGAACGGAAAGGCCCAAGCUUGCUUGGGUACUCGAGUGGCGAACGGGUGAGUAACACGUGGGUGAUCUGCCCUGCACUUCGGGAUAAGCCUGGGAAACUGGGUCUAAUACCGGAUAGGACGAUGGUUUGGAUGCCAUUGUGGAAAGUUUUUUCGGUGUGGGAUGAGCUCGCGGCCUAUCAGCUUGUUGGUGGGGUAAUGGCCUACCAAGGCGUCGACGGGUAGCCGGCCUGAGAGGGUGUACGGCCACAUUGGGACUGAGAUACGGCCCAGACUCCGACGGGGGGCAGCAGUGGGGAAUAUUGCACAAUGGGCGCAAGCCUGAUGCAGCGACGCCGCGUGGGGGAUGACGGCCUUCGGGUUGUAAACUCCUUUCGCUAGGGACGAAGCGUUUUUGUGACGGUACCUGGAGAAGAAGCACCGGCUAACUACGUG